AGAUAUAUAAUUUUAUAUAAAAUAUAUAAUUUGCAAUUAUAAAAAGCUAUAGCUAUAUCUA
rnacentral:tRNA from 1 species